UGUAAGCGUAUACCAAAGUUGUUGCAGUUAAAACGCUCGUAGUCGGAAUUUGGCAGUUCCGGAUGUGUGCACGUCGUGUGCGCACUUCGCGGGGAUUGCUUUUGUGGUCUUGCGUAGGAUGAGGCACUUUUAUUAGUGAACGUCCUCACGCAACCACUUUUUACUGUGAGAAAAUCAGAGUGCUCAAAGCAGGCAUUUGCCGUGAAUGUAUUAGCAUGGAAUAAUAGAAUAGGACUUGGUUCUAUUUUGUUGGUGUGUUGGGACUGAGUAAUGAUUAAGAGGGACAGUUGGGGGCAUUUGUAUUUCGGUGCUAGAGGUGAAAUUCUUAGAUUACCGAAAGACAAACUGCUGCGAAAGCGUCUGCCAAGGAUGUUUUCAUUGA
rnacentral:rRNA from 1 species